rnacentral:rRNA from 2 species
CGUAGGUGACCUGCGGAAGGAUCA